AUCCAGAGUUUGGCCCUGUAAAGUUUGUGGUUUGUGGAGACCUGCUAGAGAUGUCAAUAUUGAUCAAACCCCAUUGUUUUAAGCUAAUCAUGCUGGUCCGGCCUUUUGUACCAAUCACUUUCAACUUUUAUUCCAAAGCCAUGUUUAUUGACACAGAACACUAUGUUGCAGCUGAUCGUGCGAGAUCGUUCCUCCACCCCUCCUCACCUGCCAAAUAGGGCCUUUAUCAACUGCAGGGGCUGGCAAAAAUUAAACACAUUAAUCUUUUCCUGGCAUGGAGGCACAGAGGGCAGAAAUGUUUCAUCUGCUGAAUUUCUGACAAUCAUGAAGCUAUAAAAUGUUAAAGAGGAAGUCUGUCAUACAAAGCUUACCCUUUUUAUUAUUUCAUUUCAUAACAGCCAUGUAUGAGAAGUACUUAUUUCUUUCAAAAAAUUAGCUAUUUACAAAGAUUUAUUGCCCAUUCCCUUGCUUAUUCUUUUCUUACAAUUUUGUCUCUUUCUGUGUGGUAACUUCUCAGAUUCUUAAAUCUACCUUCUGCCAAUAAUCUAACUGGAAAUUAGAUCAGAUCCUCAUAUUUAGUUUGUGAUGUAAUGAUUAUUUAACAUUCUUUGCUUUUUUUACAAGUACUUUAAUCAAUACAUAUAGAAAUACAAAAUGCUGUCUAAUGUUUGAUUUUAGAGUUCUAGUCCAUACUUUUCCUUUACAUAACAUCAUUCUACAAAAGUGGCACAUUUCUUUCAGAAAUACUUCAUUUUUAUUGGCAAUCAAUAUCUAUACAGAAAUAAGACUGAUUUGCAAAUGAUGAACAAAAUGACAUAUAUCAUCAUGCAUGAAUAAAAGAUCACAAACACUG